CAACAACAUUUCUUGGCAUGUGUCCCUCUUGUCAUCUGUUUAGGUUUCAGUUCCUCCUGUAUUUCUGCUGCGUAUCAUCUGGGCUAAUGAUUAAUUCCUAUAAACACAGACUGAGAGUUGAGCUGGAUUAGAUCCAGGUAACCAAAGGACUCUGGCUCUCACCAAAACAAGCAGAGAGCGCAGCUACAGAACCAGCGCCAUAAAGAAGACUUUCCCAAAAACUGUCAGUAAUACAUUACACACUAAACGGUUAUAGAAAUUACAGUGAUGUGUUUAAGGCUGACAAAAAGUCUAGUUUUCUUGAAGCUGCGUUUAAAAAAAAAAAAAAAAAAAAAAAAAAGCCGAACAGCUUCGCGGUGCGCACUGCAUGGCGAUGCGUAAAAGCCUCCGCGCGUCUCCGGGUUCGUCACCCCGAACCUUCACUUUGUCCUUACCGAGUUGAGAGCCGUGGUGAAGUGCAGCACGGUGAUGGUGACGACCACAGUCUGCAGCAGAACCGCCAGCAGCAAAAGCACCCCGAGCUUCGGACCGGAGCCCGUCAUAACGACAGACCGCAGUCCGGUACCCGACCAGCGCAGUCUCCGUCCUGUUCUCAGACUUCCAGAACAAGAACAAUGGCAGAGAGAGCUGACUCCUUAACUUCUACCCUCCCCGUUCCCUGCAAGCAGCAAGAGGAGGAGGAGGAGGAGGAGGAGGAGGAGGCGGGGCCGGCCUGGAGAACUUCUGGUGAGAUUAUUGUUUCAUUUCUGCGCUGGAAAAACACAGAUAGCCUUAAAGCUUAUUGUGAGGGCUCAUAUCUUUGCUAUAGAUCUGUACUGAGCUUUACUGUGAGAAAAACGCAUUUAACAUCAGAAUAUGAGCAAAACAAUGUCCUAGCUUUAUGAAUGAGUGGCACAGCCGAAGGUUGGCACGUACAUUACUUUUAUUGGGAUGCUAGAGUUUAAUCUCACCUAAACUGAAGUUGUAUUCACUUAUAUUAAGCCUCCAUGACAUCAUUUCAUAUAUUCUGCAUCACUGCAGAGCAGCACACAGAUUUAGGUUAUAUAGCCAAGUUGUCUUUUCUGGGGAAAACCAUAAAUUAAGCUUUUCUUCAAAGCUUUGGCUUAUUUGGUACUGUAUGCUGACUGGACCACAUGUAGCCAAGAUGUCAAGUUGUUUCGAUAAAAGGAUCUAUCAGACAUUCCUGACAUUUCUCUUCCAGAUCUCUCCAACAUUUGAUCUUAUAAUGUCCAUCCAUCAUGCAUCUUUCUGAGGUAAUUAAAAAAAGGACACAAAUAGGUUUGUCUGAAAAUAUAAUCAUCAUCUCUAUGUUCAUAUCAGUGAUCGUAUUACCUGGUAUUUGAAGUAUAUUUUUGUACAGUUAUCUAAAGAGAGGAUUCUGUGAUGAUGGGAUAUUCUUGCAUUCUUUAUCAGGCUGCAUAACAAAAACAUGAUGUUCCUUUCCCCUUAA